rnacentral:rRNA from 1 species
CAAUAGCGUAUAUUAAAGUUGUUGCGGUUAAAAGCUCGUAGUUGGAUUUCUGUCGAGGGUGGGCGGUCCGCACUAUGUGCGUGUAUCUGUUACGGCCUUGGCAUCCUCUUGGGGAACGUGUCUGUGCUUGAUUGCAUGGGCGCGGUAUUCAAGACUUUUACUUUGAGGAAAUUAGAGUGUUCACGGCAAGCAUAGCUUUGAAUACAUUAGCAUGGAAUAAUAAUAUAGGGACAUUCGUACUAUUUUGUUGGUUUCUAGAACGAGUGUAAUGAUUAAUAGGGAUAAUUGGGGGCAUUCGUAUUAACGCGUCAGAGGUGGAAUUCUUGGAUUGCGUUACGACGAACUACUGCGAAAGCAUUUGCCAAAGGAUUGUUUUCUAUUGAUCAAGAAACGAAAGUA